GCAAGUCGAACGAUGAACCACUUCGGUGGGGAUUAGUGGCGAACGGGUGAGUAACACGUGGGCAAUCUGCCCUGCACUCUGGGACAAGCCCUGGAAACGGGGUCUAAUACCGGAUACUGAACCUCGCAGGCAUCUGUGAGGGUCGAAAGCUCCGGCGGUGCAGGAUGAGCCCGCGGCCUAUCAGCUAGUUGGUGAGGUAAUGGCUCACCAAGGCGACGACGGGUAGCCGGCCUGAGAGGGCGACCGGCCACACUGGGACUGAGACACGGCCCAGACUCCUACGGGAGGCAGCAGUGGGGAAUAUUGCACAAUGGGCGAAAGCCUGAUGCAGCGACGCCGCGUGAGGGAUGACGGCCUUCGGGUUGUAAACCUCUUUCAGCAGGGAAGAAGCGAAAGUGACGGUACCUGCAGAAGAAGCGCCGGCUAACUACGUGCCAGCAGCCGCGGUAAUACGUAGGGCGCAAGCGUUGUCCGGAAUUAUUGGGCGUAAAGAGCUCGUAGGCGGCUUGUCACGUCGGUUGUGAAAGCCCGGGGCUUAACCCCGGGUCUGCAGUCGAUACGGGCAGGCUAGAGUUCGGUAGGGGAGAUCGGAAUUCCUGGUGUAGCGGUGAAAUGCGCAGAUAUCAGGAGGAACACCGGUGGCGAAGGCGGAUCUCUGGGCCGAUACUGACGCUGAGGAGCGAAAGCGUGGGGAGCGAACAGGAUUAGAUACCCUGGUA
rnacentral:rRNA from 1 species